rnacentral:rRNA from 1 species
CAGAGACCUCAAGCGUUAUCCGGAAUUAUUGGGCGUAAAGCGUACCGAUCGGUGGUUAUGUAAGCCAGAUGUGAAAUACCGAAGCUUAACUUCGGGAUUGUCAUUUGGAACUACAUGACUAGAGGGGCAAAGAGGAAGCUGGAACGAACGGUGUAGUAGUGAAAUGCGUUGAUAUCGUUCGGAACACCAAUAGCGAAGGCGAGCUUCUGGGUGCCACCUGACACUGCUAGGACGAAAGCGUGGGGAGCGAAUGGGAUUAGAUACCCCAGUAGUCCACGCUGUAAACGAUGCGCAUUCGGCGCUAGGGAGUAUCGACCCUCUUUAGUGCCUAAGUUAACACGUUAAAUGCGCCGCCUGGGGAGUACGGCCGCAAGGCUA